ensembl:lncRNA
UUCACAGUAAGGAGUUUGUACUUUAUUUUAAGCCUAAUAGAAAGCUGUCAGAGGUUUUUAAGCAAAGGGAUAUAAUGAUCUGAAAAGAUGUUGCAGGCUGCUCUGUGGAAAACUAACCCUAAAGGCACAAUGGGGAAGCAGAGAAACCAGUUAGGAAGCUAAAAUUUCAGACAAAAUAAUGAUGGCUUGCACCUGGGUGUGUAGGGUAAGAAUUAUCUUUUCCUUCUACCCAUUUUAGGCUCAUUGGCUUGGGAUGCUGUAACAAAAGACAAAUUAACAAGAGAAAAGCAUAAAUAUUGUUAGUUUUACAUAACAUGCAAACUUCAUAAAGAAAUAAAAAGACCCAAAUAAAUAGUUAACCUUAGUGUUCUUUAGAGUAGGUUUGAAGAAGAAUGAAGAAUUGUGGGAAAAUGUGAUGGGGCUAAAAGACUGUGAUCUAAGGGUAAUAAACUGGGGGAAACUUAGCAAGGCCUGAUGUUCAUAUUCAUCUCUACGUUCCUGUGUUUUCAGAGAUAAAGAUGUUACUUUUAUUCCAGGUAUAGACAGGGCAACUCUCACAUUAGGGUAUUACGUCCUGCUUCAGGGCAGAAAGGUGCAAGAAAGUUAGAGACAUUCCUGCAUAUGUUCUUUCUCAAAUUCCUUCAGUUUAAAGUAUUCAGUAUGUCUAGGUGCCAUAUUCUUGGGUAGCAUGCCCCAAACCCCGUCAGGUGGUAGAAGCAGAGGUUGUGAGAAGUCGUUUAAUUCGCUACAUAUUUUGAGAUUAAGCCAGUAAGGCUUGCUAUAUGAUAAGAUGUAAGGCCUGAGAUAGAAGACUCACCUGUGACUCCUUAGCCUGAGCAAUUAAGAGAAUGAGGUGACUGUUCACUGCAUUAGGUCAAGCUUUCACUCGGUGCAGUGCGAUAUCUGUUUUUAUUUAAUUAUGUACUUAACAAUUCCAGGCUAUUGGUUGGCCACUUAAAAAAAAUACGAUAAAAUACACAGCUCUUAGGAGUUCAUCCCACGAACUUUGACAAUUGUAUGUAUGGGUGUAAUAUUUCUAUUACCUUGGCAAAUUCCUCCCCACCCCCGCAGGGCCUUAAAUAUAAUCUAUAGAAGAAACUACGUACAUAAAAAUACGUUUACAACUUAAUUUCUAAAGUGAACCCACCUAUUUAUAAAUCAGUGUCUAAAUCAAGUAACAUUACCGGAACCUCAAAAGCCCCCUGGUGGCUCUUCCACGUCAUUGUCCUUCCCACUACGCUCAUUAACACCAUGGGCUAGUUUUUAGACUUCAUUUAAAUUGAACCACACAAUAUGAACUCUUCUGUGUCUGGCUUCUUUCCCUUAAUGUUAUUUUUUGUGUGAAAUUCACGCAUGUUGCGCUUCGGUAAUUUAUUUUUGUACUGUACUUCCGAUUCUUUAUUACAGAUAAUGGUCAGCCUCCAUUUCGCUAAGAGCUUUUUUUCCUCUCCGAGUUGCUGAUUCUAAUCGCUGCCUUGGGCGAUCUAUAAAGCUGAGUGCUCGCUAUGUAACCUCUCAGGGGUCGCCGCCUUGGACGAUCAAAAAAGCUGAGCGCGGGCUAUGUGAUCUCUGAGGGGUUGUUUCCAACCGUGUUGUUGACAUCUUGAGCCUGCCAAGGACUAGAAUAACCUGAAAACUAGGCUUCUCUGGGGUCUCGCUGAGAGGCAGCGUUAGAACCAGAAGAGAACAUCGUCUCCAGAAGACAUUCCACCAUUUUCUUUGAUGGUAAACAGGCUCACUUAUACCGAAUCCAAACCCAGGCGAGAACUACGGACUCUUGAAAUGGUCGGUGAAAGAGGCGAAAGCACCAGGAAAUUAUGCUUCAACAGUCCACGACAAAAGGAGGGUCUGAAACUGUGGCCAAACGCCGACCCUUUCGUUAGGGCCUUGACCUGGGCUUCCGCCACGGGGCCGGGUCAUGUGGCCAACGCAGCUCCACCUCCUACCGCGGCCAAUGAUGACGACACGAGGUCGGAGCGGACAGAGAGCGGUGACGUCUCCACUGCGGCAAACUCACUGAAAAUCAAACCGCUACCAUUAGGAGUCCUCCACGCUUAACAUAUCCAUUCAUUCUCGUUUGAACAUAACCAGGCAGCUCCUUCUCCCCAUUUUUUGCCUUCUCGCGGAGGCUGAGAGACUAGCCUUACACAACAUGGCUGCCUGGUGUGUCUGGUGUCC